rnacentral:rRNA from 1 species
GCCCUUCGGGGUACACGAGCGGCGGACGGCUGAGUAACACGUAGGAACGUACCCCAAAGUGAGGGAUAAGCACCAGAAAUGGUGUCUAAUACCGCAUGUGCUCUAAGGAGUAAAGCUCCGGCGCUUUGGGAACGGCCUGCGCAUGAUUAGCUAGAUGGUGAGGUAAUGGCUCACCAUGGCGACGAUCAUUAGCUGGUCUGAGAGGAUGAUCAGCCAGACUGGGACUGAGACACGGCCCAGACUCCUACGGGAGGCAGCAGUAGGGAAUUUUCCACAAUGGGCGAAAGCCUGAUGGAGCAACGCCGCGUGCAGGAUGAAUGCCUUCGGGUUGUAAACUGCUUUUAUAUGUGACGAAUAUGACGGUAGCAUAUGAAUAAGGAUCGGCUAACUCCGUGCCAGCAGCCGCGGUCAUACGGAGGAUCCAAGCGUUAUCCGGAAUUACUGGGCGUAAAGAGUUGCGUAGGCGGCAUAGUAAGCAGAUAGUGAAAGCGUGUGGCUCAACCAUACUCACAUUAUCUGAACUGCUAAGCUAGAGGACGAGAGAGGUCACUGGAAUUCCUAGUGUAGGAGUGAAAUCCGUAGAUAUUAGGAGGAACACCAAUGGCGUAGGCAGGUGACUGGCUCGUUCCUGACGCUCAGGCACGAAAGCG